UGCAGCAAAGAAAAUCGCUGAUUUAGGCGGCUGGGAGAUUCCCAUGUCCGGUCAUGUUCAGCAUGUCAACCCAGGGGAUAAGAGACAUGUUUCGGGGACCACUACCUCACCGCUCGCUUUGUCAUAGAUACGUUAUGUUGACGUAAAAACGUACAGGACGCCUUGACGUCCAGGAGGAACAACAGUAAUAUAAUUUCCGGUGACACUUUCAAAGGUGGGAUGAAAACCUGAGAAUUAUUGUCAGAUAUCAACCUGCAGCCUGCGACAGGCAAAAACAAACAAAAGAAACAAUGAGGGAGGAGGCGCAACCACACUGUAAGUCAUCUGUCACAACGUUACUAAGACAACAAUCAUAUGAGCCACCUCCUGAUCCAACUGCACCCACAGGUCUUGGCAGAGAAGAUAUUGCAAUCAGUGCAAUAUCACUCUUGCAAUCAGUUUAUCACGAAGGUGGCUACAUCUGAUUUAGCCUGUAGGGCUUCAAGGUUUAUUGUGUUGUGAGGACCGAGGUUCAUUUCAGUCUAUAACUGUUAAAGAAAAAUAGACCAUGUUGAAGUUAAAAAAAGAUAUUGACAUUAUGUGCUCCUUGUGAUGUGAUGUUCAUGUAGAAACAAUAGCCCAUUUAUUCUGGCAUUGUACUUAUACCAAGAAACUGUGGAAAGAUGUAUGUAGAUUUGUGAUUGAUAAUAUUUACAGUGAUUUUGAACUACUGUAUAAAAAUGUCAUUUUUGGUUUUGUGAAUGUUGAAUGUAAGCUUGAAGACAAUUACCUUUGAUUAACCUGAUAAUAAUUUUUGCUAAAUAUUGUAUCCACAAAUGUAAAUUUACUAAUGCCAAACCAAUAUUUACCUUACUCAAGAAAGAAAUUAAUCUAUAUAUAGGAAUGAUAAACUCAUUCCAAAACAAGAAAGCUAUCAAAACGGUGAAUUUAUGUACUUUACACAAUAUAUUUGUAG